GCCAGAAUAGAAUUAUCUAAUUACAGUAUUUUCUACUUGAAGUUGCAGUUAGCCUGAGAACUACACUGGGAAUUACUUUGGAGAGCACCAAGGCUAAGAAGGAAAAAAGGCGACACGAGAGUGGAAGGAAGACUAUCAG
rnacentral:lncRNA from 1 species